GCUGGGAUAGCUCAGUUGGUAGAGCACAAGAUUCUUGAUCUCUGGGUUGAAGCCCCAUGCUGGGCA